GAGGGCGCCGGAGCCGGGCAGGGCGGAGAGAUGCGCCAGCGGACUUCUAUUUGGAACUGAGUCCGACAGCUCAGGACUGGCUGCUCAGACUCCACAAUUUAAUGAAAAAUCUCAGAUGAUGACUCAGAAAACCUCUAAUGAUCUGAGGAAUAUAUUAAGGGAUUCCAGAGUCAAAGGCUGAUCAUGGAGGGCAUUGAUGAGGGAAGACUUCAGCACGUUUUUCAGCACCAGGACAAGCAUCAUUGCUCAAGGAGAGCUUGGUUGACAACAGGAAGUUAGAAGGAGUCUGAAUUGUAACAAGUGUGGCAAGAGCACCAAGAUCACUCUGUGUGUGUUCACAGAAAAUGUACCAAAGGGAGAGGCCUUAAAAACAAAUGGCAGGUGUGGGCACCAGAGAAUCAACACAUCAGGAAGAGAAAAAUGGCAUGGUUUUAGUGUAAUUGUAAAAAGACGCCCUAAAGAGUGUCUAUCGGAUCACCCUCAGGUUGGGUCAAACGCUCCUCUUCUCGGCUU
rnacentral:antisense_RNA from 1 species